GAUUCCGCGUUGAUUUUCGUUAGAUCAAGGAGCUUGUGGAAUAAUAUACCCACAGUCCUUCAAGUUGCCGCUAGGCGGCCAGGGCGUGAGACCGAUGAGCGUAGAUAGACUACGUGAUUCGGCGAGCACCCGCAGCCAACAACGCGGCGGCUUCAAAGGCGAAGGGUAUAGACUGCUUGCAAAACCGCUAUUCGUGGUACGAAAUCAAGGCGCACGGAGCCCAGCAACCACUGUGAUUAAAAUGGUGAGCACCGCGUAACCUAGAAUUCACACCACGCAGUAGGUUAUACAAAAAGUCUAAUGAAGUUUGCCUGAUCAUACAAAAACGCAGCAAUGGCGUAAGACGUAAUGUGAAAUCAAGCGAUGAGCGGGCUGCGGGAAACCCCCGAUCCGGAAAAUUAAUUCAUUAAGCGGGUUUAUACUUAAGACGCUAUUUUUCAAAAGGAAAAAUAGGUCUAUUGAGAUAAUGUCCCUAAAUUCAAGCACUGUCGCUGUCGUCAAGUUAGCAGUGCCGUUAGAAGACCUUGUUUGCUCUGUUUAUUCGGCCAUGAAAGGUUAUUUUCCCGCAGUUUUAAUGCUAA
rnacentral:sRNA from 1 species